CGGAAGUGCUCGUCGCACCCCGCGGCGCCGCUGGGGCGUGUCGGCCGGCGGGCUUCCAGGAGGCCCAGUCCGCCGUGUUUAGAAGCUGGUCUGGAAGGUGUACAAUAUAGUGAUUCAGCAGUUCCAUACAUCACCCAGUGCUCAACACAACAUCGCCUACUUUACCAAUAAUCCUCACCCUCCUCCCUUCUGGGCAAGUGUGCCUGUGAGCCAGAGCAGCAAUGGGCCCUUCCCCCAGGAGACCAGCACAACCCCCUGGAUGCACCAAGUCUACUGACCAUAGAAUGCUGCAAAGCUUCACUUCUAGUGAAAACAGGAUCUAAGGGAAUUCCUGGGUGGCUCAGUGGUUUGGCGCCUGCCUUUGGCCCAGGGCACGAUCCUGGAGUCCUGGGAUCGAGUCCCACGUCAGGCUCCCAGCAUGGAGCCUGCUUCUCCCUCCUCCUGUGUCUCUGCCUCUCUCUCUGUCUAUCAUAAAUAAAUAAAAGUCUUAAAAAAACAACAACAACAGGAUCUAAGCUCUUUUUUAAAGGGGAGGGGCAGAGGGAGAAAGAAUCUCAGCAGGCUUCAUGCCCAGCAUGGAGCUCAUCAUGGACCUCCAUCCUACAACCCUAAAGUCAUGACCUGAGCCAAAAUUAAGAGUUGGUUGCUUAACUGACCAAGCUACCCAGGUUUCCCAGGAUCUAGCCUCUUUUAAGAAGCAGACCAAAACACACCUGGUUAAAACUCACUACACACGGGACAAGGUCCAAACACUCCCCAUGGAAGCAAGGAGAAACUCUGCAGAGGACUGACCAGAAGUAAAGAACAGCCAAAAUACAACAGCAGAGUGGAUAUAGCAUACAUGAGAUACUUCCUAAAGUGCCAGGCCAUGGAUAGUAUAUGACCUGUUCUUAAUACAGUCAUUAAGGAGCAGAAAACAUAACAAACAGGCUUUCCUAACACACAGAAGACAGAGACCUGGACAAAAUGCCAAGAUAGUGGAAGCCACUCCCAAAAGAAAGGGAUCUAGUCAAAACAGAACUAGAAUUUAAAACAUCAUGGAUUUGAGAAAGGCAUAGAAUACACCAGAGAGUCUUUUACCACAGAGAUAAAAGGCCUAAAAACUAGUCAGACUGAAAUAAAAAAAUGCUAUAAUUGAGAUGUGAAACCAUUUGGAGGUAAUGACCACAAGGAUGGAAAAAACAGAGGAAUGAAAAUGUGAUAAAGAAGAUAAAAUUUUGGAAAAAUAAUGAAGCUGAAAGGAGGAAAGAAAAAUAUUGGAUCAUGAAUGUAGACUAAGGAAACUCAGUGAUUCCAUAAAGCAUAAUAACAUUCAUAUCAUAGGAAUCCCAGAAGAAGAGAGGGAAAGGGGGGCAGAAGGUUUAUUUGAGCAAAUUAUAGCCAAAACUUCCCUAAUCUGGGGAAGGAGACAGACAGCCAAAUCCAGGAGGCACAGGGAACUCCCAUCAGAAUCAACAAAAGUAGGCCAACACCAAGUCAUAUUGUGGUAAAAUUUGCAAAAUACAGUGAUAAGGAAAAAAGUCCUGAGAGCAGCAAGGGAAAAGAAAUCCCUAACUUACAAGGGAAGACAAAUAAGGUUAGCAGCAGACCUGUCCACAGAAAUCUGGCAGGCCAGAUGAAAAUGUCGUGAUAUAUUCAAUGUGAUGAAUGGAAAAAACAUGCAGCCAAGAAUACUUUAUCCAGCAAGGCUGUCAUUCAAAAUAGAAGGAGAGAUACAGAGUUUCUCAGGAAAACAAAAACUAAAGGGGUUUGUGACCGCUAAACCAGCCCUGCAAGAAAUAUCAAAGGGGAUUCUGAAUGGGAAACAAAGACCAAAAGUAACAAAAACUAGAAAGAAAAUCUCCAGAAACACCAACUUAACAGGUAACAACACAAGGGCACUAAAUUCGUAUCUAUCAAUAAUCACUCUGAAUGUAAAUGGAGUAAAUGCUCCAAUCAAAAUACAUAGGGUGUCAGAAUGGAUAUAAAACCAAAACCCAUCUGUAUGCUGCCUAUAAGAGACUCAUACUAAACCAAAAGAUACCUACGGACUGAAAGUGGGGGAAUGGAGAACCAUUUAUGCUAAUGGAUGUCAAGAGAAAGCUGGUGUACCCAUACUUGUAACAAAAACUAGAUUUUAAACCAAAGACAAUAACAAGAGAUGAAGAAGAGCAUUAUAUCAUAAUGAAGGGGUGUAUCCAGGAGAUCCCUGGGUGGCUCAGCGGUUUAGUGCCUGCCUUCAGCCUGGGACGUGAUCCUGAAGUCCUAGGAUCGAGUCCCACAUUGGGCUCCUUGUGUGGAGCCUGCUUUUCCCUCUGCCAGUGUCUGCCUCUCUCUCUCUCUCUCUCUCUCUGUCUCUCAUGAAUAAAUAUUUUUUUUAAAAAGGGGUGUAUCCAAUAAGAAGAUCUAACUAUUGGUAAAUAUGCUCCAACUUGGGAGCACCCAAAUAUAUAAAUCAAUAACAAACAUAAAGGAACUUAUUGAUAAUAACACAAUAAUAGGCAACUUUAACACUCUACUUACAACAAUGGACAUAUUAUCUAAUCAGAAAAAUCAACAAGGAAAAAAUAACUUCGAAUGACACACUGGACCAGAUGGACUUACAGAUAUAUUAAGAACAUCUCAUCCUAAAGCAGCGGAAUACACAUUCUUUUUGAGUGCAUAUGGAACAUUCUCUGGAAUAAAUCACAUACUAGGUCACAAAUCAGGCCUCAACAAAUACAAAAAAGAUAGAGAUUAUACCAUGCAUAUUUUCUGACCACAAUGCUAUAAAACUUGGAGUCAAUAGCAAGAAAAAUUUAGAAAGACCACAAAUACAUGGAGGCUAAAGAAUAUCCUACUAAAGAAUGAAUGGGGGAUGCCUGGGUGGCUCAGUGGUCGAGCGCCUGCUUUCGGCCCAGGGCGUGAUCCUGGAGUCCCGGGAUCGAGUCCCACAUCAGGCUCCCUGCAUGGAGUCCGCUUGUGCCUCUCUCUCUCUCUCAUGAAUAAUAAAAUCUUUUAAAAGAAAAAAAGAAUGAAUGGGUUGGAGAAUCUAGUGCUAAGUCAGGCUCCCUGCUCAGUAGGGGAGUCUGCUUCUCCCUCUCUUUCUGCCAUUCCCUCCCACUUGUGUACACGUGUGGUCCCUCUGUCUCUUUCAAAUAAAAUCUUAGAAUAAAUGGGUUAACCAAAGAUUAAGGAAUUUAUUUUAAUAAUUUUAU